CAAAUUCACACACACUUCUCUCGGUUAAUUCAUUCACUUCCGGUCAAACGUCCCCUGAAACUGCGUCCACGAGCACAAACAAACGAGACGCUACCGGCGUUCCCCGGUUCGCGGCUCGGCUGCGCGUGCUUCCGUGUAGCGCCACAGCGGGAAUGUCUCCGCUCGCCACCGCCCAUCCUCAAGGAUGCUAUUGUAUUCUGCCUUACACAACUCGCUCCAUUCCGCUACGUUGACCUAUUUACCGUUUCCUGUGGCCAGCGUGGCCUCUUUAUCAGCCAACACGGCGGCAACGGCAGGAAUAAAGAGACAGGAAGUUUGGAAACAGACCCUGGAAGAGAGAAGGAAACAGAUGGGAUGACGUAUCCCAAGCUCAGCUUCCAGCAACUAUGGUUCAGAAAACACAGAACAGCACUGUAUAUGGCUGAAGCUGAAUAGCAGCUUCAUCCAUAUACAUGAGCCUGUAACUAUACAAUAAUGUAGCCAGAGCAGGAUUAGUGAAGUUUAGCGGUGAAGGGUGAAGAGUUUGAGGCACGAAAACAAAAGUCCUGUAUCCUUUUGCAUUUAGGAAAUUUAGAAUCCAUGGAUAGAGUUUGUGUAACAUCACCUCAGCAAGACAACAGUGAAGUGUAACUAGAGCAGUAAUGAACGCUAACUACCGAACAUUCUUCUAUUGUGAGGAUAUGACGAGUUGUGACUAAACAUCUGCCCUUAUGUCUGUGUGUUUUUAUUGUCUAAAAUCUAAAUGAUGGUUUAAAUAUGUGUUAAAUAUAGAUUAGAAAAUGACAACCUACAAUAUUUCACUUGUAUAAUAAAACUACUACUACUAAACUAACUACUGGUUACGACUAUGGAGCUAAAUUGGGCCUACUGUAUAUGUCUUGAAAGCGAAAUAAAACAAUUUGAAACUGAAAGCUUGAAAUGCAAAGAUUUUCAAUUCAAAUAUAUUUUGAGAUUUAGUUUUUAUGUUUUCGAUUUCAAGUCUUAAAUUUUCGCAUUUAAAACUUUUUUUUCAGUUACAGUUGUGUUUUUUUCAGGUUCAGCUCUUUUUCAGGUUCAAUUCUGCUCAAUUCUGCUUCACCGAAAUUUGCCUGUAACAACGUGUUGCAGUUACUCACUCACUACUACUCAGGGACAGAGAGCGACAGUGUUGCAAGGUGCUGCUGUGAUGAGUCCACGCCUCUCCAGCAUUUGUCUGGCUGACGCAUCCCAGCUGCCGAAAGGCAAGGAGGUUGCUUCUCAAACUGACACCACUGCAGGCUGUGGACACACGGCUACCUUGUAGAAGAGUUGUUGCUCACCUCAGGAGCAAAGAUUAUGUGAAAAAUGUGAUGGAGACCAUCUUCAAUAAAGUCCUGCUGGACCCAGGUCGUUAUAUGGAGGACCUUGUGAACAUCCCUGUCCCACCGGCCCUCUGAAUUUGAGCAACCUGACAGAAAGGAGGUCAUUAAUGUCAUGCCAAGAUUUAACAGACCAGCACUAUAAAAGCUAAGUUGAAAGAGUGUUCUCCAAACACCAUUAAAACUGAUCUAACUACCUAUAUAUUGUUUACAUUUGUGAAGGUUGUGAGAUACAUAGGAAAUAUUGGACAUUUCAUUAAUCUGCUAUUCCAUUCUCUAUACCUUCUAGAGUGGUGUCAAGGAAAACAGCUGCAUCUUCUAUCUGUAUAGCUGCUGCACUGCUUCCGAUCAAAAUUUCUUCCAAAUUGUGGGGAGCACAACAAAGAUCCUCACAUCUCCCCAGCCAACUGCCCAAGACUGUACCUUUUCUGCUCCAGAAACUAUGCUUUCAACAUAACUAUGAAUCCUACCCUGUGGUCUGUUUAUCCCACUUCCUUUUAUUAAUCUAUCAGGCAACUUCACCUGCACAUUAAACUGUAAAGGUAACUUAUCCAGCAUUAUAGUGCUGGUGCAUUGGUUGACAAUAAAGUUGGCUUUGACUAUU